rnacentral:rRNA from 1 species
UGGGGAAUAUUGGACAAUGGGGGGAACCCUGAUCCAGCCAUGCCGCGUGUGUGAAGAAGGCCUUAUGGUUGUAAAGCACUUUAAGCGAGGAGGAGGGUACUGGUAUUAAUACUACCAGGUACUGGACGUUACUCGCAGAAUAAGCACCGGCUAACUCUGUGCCAGCAGCCGCGGUAAUACCGAGGGUGCGAGCGUUAAUCGGAUUUACUGGGCGUAAAGCGUGCGUAGGCGGCUAAUUGAGUCGGAUGUGAAAUCCCCGGGCUUAACUUGGGAAUUGCAUUCGAUACUGGUUAGCUAGAGUGUGGGAGAGGAUGGUAGAAUUCCAGGUGUAGCGGUGAAAUGCGUAGAGAUCUGGAGGAAUACCGAUGGCGAAGGCAGCCAUCUGGCCUAACACUGACGCUGAGGUACGAAAGCAUGGGGAGCAAACAGG